rnacentral:rRNA from 1 species
AUCUGGAAGAAUCUGGAGACAGGUGCUGCAUGGCUUGUCGUCAGCUCGUGUCGUGAGAUGUUGGGUUAAGUCCCGCAACGAGCGCAACCCUUGCCUUUAGUUGCCAGCAGUUUCGGCUGGGCACUCUAAAGGGACUGCCGGUGUUAAACCGGAGAAGGUGGGGAUGGACGUCAAGUCCUCAUGGCCUUUAUGACCAGGGCGUACACACGUACUACAAUGGCCGAUACAAAGGGCAGCGACACUGCGGAGGUGAAGCCAAUCCCGUAAAAUCGGUCUCAGUCCGGAUUGGAGUCUGCAACUCGACUCCAUGAAGUUGGAAUCGCUAGUAAUCGUGGAUCAGCAUGCCACGGUGAAUACGUUCCCGGGCCUU